ACUACGGGUGGCAGCAGUGGGGGAUAUUGCACAAUGGGGGGAACCCUGAUGCAGUGACGCCGCGUGGGUGAAGAAGCGCCUCGGCGCGUAAAGCCCUGUCAGCAGGGAAGAAAAUGACGGUACCUGAAGAAGAAGCCCCGGCUAACUACGUGCCAGCAGCCGCGGUAAUACGUAGGGGGCAAGCGUUAUCCGGAUUUACUGGGUGUAAAGGGGGCGCAGACGGCGAUGCAAGCCAGGAGUGAAAGCCCGGGGCCCAACCCCGGGACUGCUCUUGGAACUGCGUGGCUGGAGUGCAGGAGGGGCAGGCGGAAUUCCUGGUGUAGCGGUGAAAUGCGUAGAUAUCAGGAGGAACACCGGUGGCGAAGGCGGCCUGCUGGACUGCAACUGACGUUGAGGCCCGAAAGCGUGGGGAGCAAACAGGAUUAGAUACCCUAGUAGUC
rnacentral:rRNA from 1 species